GAAGAAUUAAUAAACGAAAACCUUUUGGCGAACUCGCCAAGGGCGAAAAGCCACUCAAAUAAAGAUAAAGAAAGAAAUUAAAUAUAAUAUCUUGAUCAAGUUCGAAAGCAAUUUUACAUCGAGCUCCAGAAAAAAUCUGAAGCCUGUGGAAAAAUAAAAAAAAAUAAAAAUUAAAAUAAAAUCUUUGUAAAAAUCCUGGGGAAUCCCUGAAAAAAUCCUCAAAUUCUGAGUAAAUUCAAAAAAAUCUUUUUAAGCAAUUGAUAAGGAACUCUUAGAAGAAAUCCUAAAGGUAUUCUUGAAAAAUUCCAAAAACAAAUCUUGAAGAUGCUUUCGGAAUAAUUAAAGAAAGCAUGUCUCAUUAGUUCCUUGAAGAAAAAUCAUCAAGAUCUCUAGAACAAAUUUAACAAGGAGCUUCUCAAGUAAUUACAGGAGAAAUUGGAGGAAAGUUCUAAUUUCGCUGAUUCAUAUUCCUGGGUCAGUAAGUCACCAGUAUCUGUGUUUUGUAAUAUUCGUGGCAGAUUAUAAGUUGUCCGUCCAUAAUCCACGCGGUCAUAUUUUUUAUAUUUUUCAGACUACACUCUCCUCUCCUCAAAGUAAAUUGUGUUAUUGGAGAAAUCGUAAAACAUUAUUUCUGGAUGUUCAAGAAUAUAGAUUUAUAAAUAAAAUAUUCUGAAGGAUUCGUAUUUCUAAUAUCUAUAAAUUGUCAUAUAGUUUUUGUAUCCUUAAAAAACUUUGUAGGAUGCUGGACUGAUCUUGGUUUUAGUCAUGAAUCGGCACGAAAAAGUUGAACGAGCUCUGCGAUUUAUUUCACUGUUGGCUGAAGGAAACUAAUCUCUACCUGAAGAGCCUGCAGGCUUGAAUUUAAUCUCUGUCCACUGCGGGUUCUCGGACUAUCACCUGAAGCGCUCCAGUCGUUAUACUGCAUUAUUUAAACGUUUUUAAUUCAAUAAAAAUAGAAUAAAUAAUGUAAACUUAUUUUUUUGUUUGAAACAUA